rnacentral:misc_RNA from 1 species
ACUCCGUAGGUGAACCUGCGGAAGGAUCAUUAAAAAUGAAGCCGGGAAACCGGUCCUUCUCACCCUUGAUUAUCUCAAUUUGUUGCUUUGGUGGGCCGCGCAAGCACCGGCUUCGGCUGGAUCGUGCCCGCCAGAGGACCACAACUCUGUAUUAUAUGUCGUCUGAGUACUAUAAAAUAGUUAAAACUUUCAACAACGGAUCUCUUGGUUCUG